rnacentral:rRNA from 1 species
AACGAACGCUGGCGGCAUGCCUAACACAUGCAAGUCGAACGAGAUCUUCGGGUCUAGCGGCGCACGGGUGCGUAACGCGUGGGAAUCUGCCCUUUGGUUCGGAAUAACAGUUGGAAACGACUGCUAAUACCGGAUGAUGACGAAAGUCCAAAGAUUUAUCGCCAGAGGAUGAGCCCGUGUAGGAUUAGCUAGUUGGCGUGGUAAGGGCGCACCAAGGCGAAGAUCCUUAGCUGGUCUGAGAGGAUGAUCAGCCACACUGGGACUGAGACACGGCCCAGACUCCUACGGGAGGCAGCAGUGGGGAAUAUUGGACAAUGGGCGAAAGCCUGAUCCAGCAAUGCCGCGUGAGUGAUGAAGGCCUUAGGGUUGUAAAGCUCUUUUACCCGGGAUGAUAAUGACAGUACCGGGAGAAUAAGCUCCGGCUAACUCCGUGCCAGCAGCCGCCGUAA